CCUUAUUUACUACAUUACUAUGAGUCCUUUUUUGUGUGUACAUAUAUCUCAAGUUUUUAUCUUUUCACUAACUUUCUCUCCGCCUAUUUUUUCCUUAUUCUUCUUCAACAUUAAGGUUUAGAAGCAAACGAAGAGUUGCAAAGUGUCAUAGAGGUCAUGGAAGCUCCAAGAGACAGAAGAUAUAAAUCACCUACCAAUAGACCAAC
rnacentral:lncRNA from 1 species